GAGGAUCUCCCCGGUGAUCUUGGCCUGGCGCUGUCGGUUGUAGGCGAUGGAGAGGUUCUUGGCGAGCUCGAUGGCGUUGUCGGUGGCGCUGCUCAUGGCGCUCAUCCGGGCGGCGAGCUCGCUGGCGAGCGACUCCUGCAGGGCACGGAGGAUCUGGCUGUUGAGGUAGAGCGGGAGCAGCGCGUCGAGGAUCUGCACGGGGUCCUGCUCGAACUGCACCACGGGGGAGAAGGGCUGCGUCUCGAUCUUCACCUUCUCGCGCUCCACGGUGAGCUUGCCCUCCUUGGUGGUGAGGCGGAAGAGCUCGUCCUCGGUGGCGUCCACGCAGACGCCGUUGAUGUCGCAGAUCUCGCCCUUGGGGGACAUGGGGAGCAGCGUCUGGAUGAUGGGGUCGGAGCGCACCAGCGACACGAACUUGGAGUAGAGCAGCUCCACCUUGUCCACCUCCUCCGAGACGAAGAGCGAGUAGACGAGGUCGCAGAUGGACUGCGAGUCCUUGACGGUGGGCACGCCGUUCACCUCCAGGUCCCGCUCCAGCGGGAUGUAGGGGCGG
rnacentral:lncRNA from 1 species